AAUCAACGCUGGCGGCGCGCCUAACACAUGCAAGUCGAACGAGAAAGCCGGAGCAAUCUGGUGAGUAAAGUGGCGUACGGGUGAGUAACACGUGGAUAAUCCACCCUCUGGUGGGGAAUAACCCUGGGAAACCGGGGCUAAUACCGCAUAAGUCCGAAAGGAGAAAGGCGAAAGUCGCCGGAGGAGGAGUCCGCGGCCGAUUAGCUAGUUGGUAGGGUAACGGCCUACCAAGGCGACGAUCGGUAGCCGGCCUGAGAGGGCACACGGCCACACUGGCACUGAGACACGGGGCCAGACUCCUACGGGAGGCAGCAGUGGGGAAUCUUGCACAAUGGGGAAACCCUGAUGCAGCGACGCCGCGUGAGUGAUGAAGCCCUUCGGGUGUAAAGCUCUUUCGACAGGAACGAUAAUAGACGGUACCUGGAGAAGAAGCUGCGGCUAACUACGUGCCAGCA
rnacentral:rRNA from 1 species